GACGAACGCUGGCGGCGUGCUUAACACAUGCAAGUCGAACGGAAAGGCCCUGCUUUUGUGGGGUGCUCGAGUGGCGAACGGGUGAUUAACACGUGAGUAACCUGCCCUUGACUUUGGGAUAACUUCAGGAAACUUGGUCUCAUACCGGAUAUGAGCUCCUGCUGCAUGGUGGGGGUUGGAUAGUUGCGGCGGUUGGGGAUGGACUCGCGGCUUAUCAUCUUGUUGGUGGGGUAGUGGCUUACCAAGGCUUUGACGGGUAGCCGGCAUGAGAGGGUGGCCGGCCACAAUGGGACUGAGAUACGGCGCAGACGCCUACGGGGGGCAGCAGUGGAGAAUAUUGCACAGUGGGCGGAAGCGUGAGGCAGAAACGCCGCGGGCGGGAUGACGGCCUUCGGGGUGUAAACAGCUUUCGCCUGUGACGAAGCGUGAGUGACGGUAAUGGGUAAAGAAGCACCGGCUAACUACGUG
rnacentral:rRNA from 1 species